rnacentral:lncRNA from 13 species
CAGACUUAAAAUAACUGGAAGAACUACUUGACUGAGCUGUUGCUGUGAUGGACACUUGCUCCCGUCUACUUCCUUAUCUAUUAUCCACUAGUUAACCACAUCUAAUGAAGAGAAUAUCUAAACCAUAAAAUCUUAAGCCCUGGAAUGAGUGAUUUUUCUUAGAAGCAGAGGUGGAGCAACUGAGGAAGCACUGGUGAGCCUUCUCCAGCACAUGCGCACUGGUCCCAACAGAAGAACCACUGCUGCAUCCACUGAGCAGGCUCCUGUU